rnacentral:rRNA from 1 species
UACAGAGGGGGCAAGCGUUAUUCGGAAUUAUUGGGCGUAAAGGGCGCGUAGGCGGCUUGGCAAGUGGAUGGUGAAAUCCCUCGGCUUAACCGAGGAACUGCCGUCCAAACUGCUUCGCUUGAGACCGGGAGAGGUGAGUGGAAUUCCCAGUGUAGCGGUGAAAUGCGUAGAUAUUGGGAGGAACACCAGUGGCGAAGGCGGCUCACUGGGACGGUACUGACGCUGAGACGCGAAAGCGUGGGGAGCGAACAGG